rnacentral:misc_RNA from 1 species
GGAUUUGAAAGGUAUAGCAUGGGUUGGAGAUAUAUACCAGAAAUUUGAAGCGAUGUGUUUGGAGAUGGAAGAUGCUAUGUACCAGGAUACCGCUAGAUAUGUUGAGAAUCAAGUGCAGACUGUUGGUGCAAGUGUCAAGAGGUUCUAUUCAGAUGUGGUGCUAGAUCUGCAUCCUCAAUUUAACAUAGAUCCCGUGAAAGUUGCAGCUGCUGACUUGUCUCUUAAUCCUUAUGCGCACACUGAAAUCAGCAAGAAGCUGAAAGCACAACUUAAAGGAGGCCACCCUAGGGUAAUUAAUAAGGAAUUAAUUGAUGAUACUCAAGUGAUUAAGGGGAAAAGCAAAAGUGGAGGAGUUUAUAGACGUCAAAGUGUUGGGAUCAAAGAAAUUGUUAGAGAUAAUCAUCCACCAUCUAAGAAGUCGGACGCUCUCUGUCUCGUAUCAGGGAAUACAAUUAAAUUGUUCUCAGAUUCUAAGGUUAGGGGAGGUUUUGAAGUGGCAUCCGACCACAUGACAAUGACUUCGCCCUUGGCCUCAGUUAAAGGACUUAACUCUACCGAGACAGGAAAGGAGGUUUCCAACCAUAUUAUAAAAACAGAUGUGGCUGCAGCAGGUAUAUCAAUUAAUAUUGCAGCGUCUGACACGAGCUUAUCAGUUGACUGUGUUGGGCAGAACCAAGCAGAUCUCAGGAACACUUUCUCUGUUUGUGACUUGCAAUCAGACUCUCAUGUAGAUAGGGGUACACGCAAGGAGUUGGCUGGUGAUACUGGACUAAAGAUUAGCAGUAAUACUGGUGACAAUAAUAUUGCCA